rnacentral:lncRNA from 1 species
CAUGUGACGGCAUUUUUCAGUAAACAUCCGAUCUGCGCUACCUCUCUCUUUAUUUACCUUGGGUUUGAUGUAUAUUAUGUAUUUCCCAAAGAAAGGGCGGCAAUUGAUAGACUGUUCCGGGCGGCUCAAACUGUAGCUACGCCAUUGAACAAAUCAAACGGUUAUCGUUCCACAGCCAGAUUGACUGAGUGGAAACGCUUCAGCUUUCUACUCGAGGACCCGGUUCGAACCUCGGGUCUUAAUCCUUGAAAAUGUUUUUCAUGGGGUCCAGGCUCGGCCUGUCUAUCUCCGGCCUCCACAAUCUAACUGACUUCUCUUCAGGGGGCAGCCUUUUGGAAGGGCUUGUUUCGCCUCGUCACUUAGUAUUUUUACAAAAUGGAAAGUGGCGUCAACUUACAAAAAAUCAGAAUCCGAGAGAUGAUGGCUUGGAAGACGGCACCUGAUCCCCCGCGACUGAAGCGUAGGAUUCUGACCGACUUCUGGCAUAUGACCCUCAACGGAAAAGGAACUGUGAUUCAACACACAUCAGUUGGAGAUCUGCCUCCUCCUGGUACUUUGAACAACACGAAUUCAAAACCUCGUGCGGUCCUCGCACAUCCAGCACUUUGUUGAGGCUUCAGGACAGGCCUUCAAGGCAUGAGGUCCACCACAACGAGCACAUCGGAGCUUGCCACAACGUAUCUUUACAUUGAUCAAAGACAAUGCAGGUCACUAUCUUUACAGGUUAGUUAAGUCGCCAUAUCCUCAUGAGAUAUUCUUUAUCUGGCGGCGGCACUUAGAGUCCAUCACAGACUGGCCAAAUCUAUGAUGGUGUCAACCGGAUGGUUGAAGGAUGGAGGUUCAACGGCCGGACCCGGACCCUUCCUGAAAAACUGGAGG